rnacentral:rRNA from 1 species
ACGCUGGCGGCGUGCCUAAUACAUGCAAGUAGAACGCUGAAGGAGGAGCUUGCUUCUCCGGAUGAGUUGCGAACGGGUGAGUAACGCGUAGGUAACCUGCCUGGUAGCGGGGGAUAACUAUUGGAAACGAUAGCUAAUACCGCAUAACAGUAGAUGUUGCAUGACAUUUGCUUAAAAGGUGCAAUUGCAUCACUACCAGAUGGACCUGCGUUGUAUUAGCUAGUUGGUGGGGUAACGGCUCACCAAGGCGACGAUACAUAGCCGACCUGAGAGGGUGAUCGGCCACACUGGGACUGAGACACGGCCCAGACUCCUACGGGAGGCAGCAGUAGGGAAUCUUCGGCAAUGGACGGAAGUCUGAUCGAGCAACGCCGCGUGAGUGAAGGAGGUUUUCGGAUCGUAAAGCUCUGUUGUAAGAGAAGAACGAGUGUGAGAGUGGAAAGUUCACACUGUGACGGUAUCUUACCAGAAAGGGACGGCUAACUACGUGCCAGCAGCCGCGGUAAUACGUAGGUCCCGAGCGUUGUCCGGAUUUAUUGGGCGUAAAGCGAGCGCAGGCGGUUAGAUAAGUCUGAAGUUAAAGGCUGUGGCUUAACCAUAGUACGCUUUGGAAACUGUUUAACUUGAGUGCAAGAGGGGAGAGUGGAAUUCCAUGUGUAGCGGUGAAAUGCGUAGAUAUAUGGAGGAACACCGGUGGCGAAAGCGGCUCUCUGGCUUGUAACUGACGCUGAGGCUCGAAAGCGUGGGGAGCAAACAGGCUUAGAUACCCUGGUAGUCCACGCCGUAAACGAUGAGUGCUAGGUGUUAGACCCUUUCCGGGGUUUAGUGCCGCAGCUAACGCAUUAAGCACUCCGCCUGGGGAGUACGACCGCAAGGUUGAAACUCAAAGGAAUUG